GACGAACGCUGGCGGCGUGCUUAACACAUGCAAGUCGAACGGUGAAGCCCUUCGGGGCUGAUCAGUGGCGAACGGGUGAGUAACACGUGGGUAACCUGCCCCGAACUCUGGGAUAACUCCGGGAAACCGGGGCUAAUACCGGAUACGAGCUGGAGCGGCAUCGCUCCGGCUGGAAAGUUUUUCGGUUCGGGAUGGACCCGCGGCCUAUCAGCUUGUUGGUGGGGUAAUGGCCUACCAAGGCUUUGACGGGUAGCCGGCCUGAGAGGGCGACCGGCCA
rnacentral:rRNA from 1 species